rnacentral:rRNA from 1 species
UACGGAGGGUGCGAGCGUUAAUCGGAAUAACUGGGCGUAAAGGGCACGCAGGCGGGCUUUUAAGUGAGGUGUGAAAUCCCCGGGCUUAACCUGGGAAUAGCAUUUCAGACUGGGAGUCUAGAGUACUUUAGGGAGGGGUAGAAUUCCACGUGUAGCGGUGAAAUGCGUAGAGAUUUGGAGGAACACCGAAGGCGAAGGCAGCCGCUUGGGAAUGUACUGACGCUGAUGCGCGAAAGCGUGGGGAGCAAACAGG